AUCUACUCUUAUAAAUCUUAAUUCUCAGAGGUGCUCUAGUCCAACCCAAACAUAAAUCUUUGUUACAGCAUCAUAUAACAUUAAAUUCAGAAUACACAAGGAAGGGAGGAAGAAGUGUCUUGUUAUAUUUAAUAGAGUUUUAGGUCAGAGUCAAGGUGGAAAUGUUCAAAUUUUGGCAUCUUCUCAGUUACAUGUCUGAAAAGCAAUAAAGUAGGGUUAAAAAUUAAAGUUCUCUUCUUAAAGUAAGUUAUUAAUAAUGGCUAAUAUUUAUAUAGUGCUUUAAGCUUUAUAAACUACUUUACAUAUGUCUUAUUUUAUUUUCACAACAACCCUAUGAGGUAGAUGCUAUAUUUUAUAUCCAUUAUAUAGAGGAGGAAACUGAUGAUAAGGGAACUUAAAUAACUUGUCCAAAGUUAAAUAGGUACUGCUCAAAGUAUGAUUUAAACUCUGGUUUUCCUGAACGGUCUAAAGUUUCUUGCUAACUGCCUUGCAGCUGCCCAUACCUUUUCCUUGCCUCAUUUCAUCCUUCCAGGUUUAGGAAUGAUAAGCCAUGAUCAAAUCAACUCUGCCAUUUUUCCUAGAUGGAAUUUGUCAAUCUACUCCCAUAUGGCCCCACUCACCAUCCUUUUAGUUUUCCAAAAUACUUUGCUCCUCCAUGGGUGCAGUCCCUUCUGUGUAUUGUCUCUGUAAUUGAAUAUCUCCAACACUACACAAAUAUUUUUCCAUUCAUUCAUGUUCACUUAGGUAUAUCAGGGAGAGACAUUCCAAAAGAGACUUACCUAACUUGGGAGAAAAAGCAACGUAAGCUUAAUGGACAGUUUGUUUAUUUGGCCAGUGAGUUUCCUGUAUGUUGGAUAUUUUGGAAUUACUUCAGAGCUUCAUCAAUUCAUGUCAUUCAGUUACUUAUUCAGCAAGUAUUUAUAUGUCCAAUAAGUAUAAUAUAUUAAUUUAAUGUGUCCCUAAAGUGCCAUAUCUUCAAAUUGCCGGAACUCUUAUAGAUCUUUAAAACUGAGAAAUAUGAUAAAUAAUAUUGAAUUAACUCAACUUUUCUAUAAAAAUUUGUUUACUUAAAAAAUCGGUUCAGGAUAGUUCUGGUCUUAUUGGUUCUGGCUACAUCUCAGAGCUGUAGUCUACUAAUGUCAUAAGCCUCCUCAACACUUGAGAUAUUUUGGAGGUGCAUCAAAUAAAAGGAGCUCCUUGGACUCA
rnacentral:lncRNA from 1 species